CUCCAAAUUGCAACUUUCACACACACUGACAGACUCACAAUGGAAAUUGAGGCUCUGCUGCUUCCAAAGUCAAAAACUCAACAUGAGUUUUCCUUUUUUCCAGUAGAUAAUUUAGUUUUGAGUUAGAAGAAUACGAAGAUGGGUAUGUAGAGAGCCAACAGAGGGGCCAAUUUGUAGGAAGAGAAAAAGUAUACAGGAUUAGUACACAAAUGUGUAACAAAGGAAAAAAGAGAAAUGAAAAGGAAGAAAGGAAACAGUCAGUUUUGUAUGUAGAAUUUUUUUAACAAACAAUUGAGUUUCCUCUGUGGCUGUCGAUAUUUUGUUUCC